rnacentral:rRNA from 1 species
UCCAAUGAUUGACCUCGGAUCAGGUAGGGAUACCCGCUGAACUUAAGCAUAUCAAUAAGCGGAGGAAAAGAAACCAACAGGGAUUGCCUCAGUAACGGCGAGUGAAGCGGCAACAGCUCAAAUAAUCACUAGUGAAUUC